CUCAAUCAUGUACAUGUUUCUCUCUUUACAGAGCUCAGUGGAGGCAAACAUCAGCUGAUUUUUCCUAUAGAAAAACUGAAUCUCACUGAUAAACAAGGUGCAAAACUGUAUAUGAAGCAACACACUGAAGAUGUGUGUAAUCAUCUGAGUCAUUGGUUCAGUUUCUGGCCUUUCAAUGUUUGGAUGAGCAUUUGUAGAUGCAUGGCUCACUGGAUCUGGGGCAGGAAUUAUAACUUCCUCCAGAACAUGAAUGAUAAAGCAGCACUGUCCACUAUUAAUAAAAGUGAGACGAGAGACUAUGAAGAUGCCAGACUGUUCCUUUCAAAAGCGAUCCUUUCACGGAUGGUGCCCCCCUGGGAGAUGGUGCCCAACGCAAACUGCGUACUCUGCGUAUAGGGAGCGGCGGUACUGACUGAUGCAUAUCCAGUAGUUUGUGCAGAGAAUGGAAGCUGAAGCGCGCUUUACAGGACAUGGACGCGCCAGAGCGAUCACUUGCUUUGGAAACAUUUCGAAAUACGCUGUCAUGUUUGCUCAUAAAGAAUCCUGCUGAAGAUACAACCCGAAGUCUCCAUGGUCUUCACUUCUGAGUUGCCUAAACUUUAGAAGAUAAAAGUUCACAACAGAUGGUGCCGUGACCCGGAUAGAGCUCCUCACCUGAAUCCAGAAUGAAAACUUCAACAAAGUUCAACAAAGAUCUGACUUCGUUCCAGACUGAAUCUUUCUGUACA